rnacentral:misc_RNA from 1 species
GAUGAAGAACGUAGCGAAAUGCGACAAGUAAUGUGAAUUGCAGAAUUCCGUGAAUCAUCGAAUCUUUGAACGCACAUUGCGCCCGCCAGUAUUCUGGCGGGCAUGCCUGUUCGAGCGUCAUUUCAACCAUCAAGCCCCCGGGCUUGUGUUGGGGACCUGCGGCUGCCGCAGGCCCUGAAAAGCAGUGGCGGGCUCGCUGUCACACCGAGCGUAGUAGCAUACAUCUCGCUCUGGGCGUGCUGCGGGUUCCGGCCGUUAAACCACCUUUUAACCCAAGGUUGACCUCGGAUCAGGUAGGAAGACCCGCUGAACUUAAGCAUAUCAAUAAGCGGAGGA